AGCCUGCGAUCGGUACGGGCAGUGAGAGCUGAAGCCCGGAGUUGGGGACUGAGACAAGGCCCCAGGCCCUACGGGGCGCAGCAGGCGCGAAACCUCUGCAAUGCGGGAAACCGUGACAGGGGGAUCCCAAGUGCUCAUGCAUUGCAUGGGCUGUUCUUUGGUCUAAGUAACCAGAGGAGUAAGGGCUGGGCAAGACCGGUGCCAGCCGCCGCGGUAAUACCGGCAGCUCAAGUGGUAGCCGCGAUUAUUGGGCCUAAAGCGUUCGUAGCCGGAUAAGUAAGUCUUUGGUUAAAUCCUGCAACUUAACUGUGGGAAAUCUAGGGAUACUGCUUGUCUUGAGACCGGGAGAGGUUAGAGGUACUCCUAGGGUAGGGGUGAAAUCCUGUAAUCCUAGGGGGACCACCUGUGGCGAAGGCGUCUAACUGGAACGGGUCUGACGGUGAGGGACGAAACCUAGGGGAGCGAGCCGGAUUAGAUACCCGGGUAGUCCUAGGCGUAAAUGAUGCGAGUUAAGUGUGGGGGCAUCUACGAGAUGGCCCUGUGCUGUAGGGUAGCCGUUAAACUCGCCGCCUGGGGAGUACGGUCGCAAGGCUGAAACU
rnacentral:rRNA from 1 species